rnacentral:rRNA from 1 species
UGGGGAAUUUUGGACAAUGGGCGAAAGCCUGAUCCAGCAAUGCCGCGUGUGUGAAGAAGGCCUUCGGGUUGUAAAGCACUUUUGUCCGGAAAGAAAUCCUUGGCUCUAAUACAGUCGGGGGAUGACGGUACCGGAAGAAUAAGCACCGGCUAACUACGUGCCAGCAGCCGCGGUAAUACGUAGGGUGCAAGCGUUAAUCGGAAUUACUGGGCGUAAAGCGUGCGCAGGCGGUUUGCUAAGACCGAUGUGAAAUCCCCGGGCUCAACCUGGGAACUGCAUUGGUGACUGGCAGGCUAGAGUAUGGCAGAGGGGGGUAGAAUUCCACGUGUAGCAGCGAAAUGCGUAGAGAUGUGGAGGAAUACCGAUGGCGAAGGCAGCCCCCUGGGCCAAUACUGACGCUCAUGCACGAAAGCGUGGGGAGCAAACAGGAUUAGAUACCCUGGUAGUCCACGCCCUAAACGAUGUCAACUAGUUGUUGGGGAUUCAUUUCCUUAGUAACGUAGCUAACGCGUGAAGUUGACCGCCUGGGGAGUACGGUCGCAAGAUUAAAAC